UUAAACACAUGCAAACAAACCCAACAGUGAUUGACUGGACUGUCAGUUAGCAACAUAAAUCUGUGUCUACCUUUCUGAAAACAGACACUGCAGAUGACAUGGCCACAGGUGGUGACAGCUAGUUUUCUGUCAGCGCUGGGCGAAAGGAAGCAGGAGUUGCAGCAGAUCCAGUCUCACCAGCUUCUGUCCAGCAAAGACAGAAAACCUUGUGGAGUUGGUUUGGAAGCAGAAGAAGUGUUGACCAGAGGUGUGAGCUGUGAAGUGACGCCGAGGUGAGGGGAGUGGGAGAGCGCCUUCAAAUCCCAAGGCUCCAACAAGAAGUAACCUGAACGACUCACCGUUGACCAGCAUGUCUUCAGGAAUCUCCUCUAUGAUGCAUUUUUCCUCCUGUUCUCCAAGAUCAAAAUACAUGGCUGCUGCCAACAUCAGGUAACACUGGAGCAGAAAGGCAGUGCCUCGCAAACCCAUUUUCUGUUAACAAUGAGUUAUUAAAUUUCAAUACAAU